GUCGAAUCCUUCUCACACUCGAAUUCUUCACCAAUUCAGUCGAAUUCAAACAGCCCCUUGUUGCAAAGAACCUGUACAUUUUCCAAUCGACUCGGUGGAAACUUCUUCAAGCCAUGCAUUCCAGUCCGCGUCCAAGGUCGAAGAUGAUGACACCAAUUCGAUGCCCUCUGACAUUGGCUUGAUUCAACGUGCUGCGUGGAUUGGUUUGACUACCAUCAUGAGCAAGAUUCUGAGAUUAAUUAGGGAGAUUAUCGUGGCUUCAGUUUUCGGCAUAGGUUCAGUGGCAACUGCAUUCAAGUGUAAAUGGUCCCAUCCAUAUUACUAUGGCCACCACUCUAAGGUUGUGCAUUCUAUCAGUGCGAAAAGCACUUCACUCCUAACUUGGGGUUUGCUGUCAAGACCGACCUUUCAACCAUUCAAAGUUCUCUUUUUUGUUCUCAUGUAAAAAAAACCUUUCAUUUGUGUUUUGAACCCAUUGGUCAUCCCAGAAAAGAGUAGAGGAUCCAUUAUGGAUCUGCCAACAGUUUCCCUGUUUCAGAAUUGUCCAGCCUUGAAUGAUCCAUUUUUACCUUUCAAAGAAAGAGAAGAAGAAGAAUAAGAAGAAGAAGAAGAACUAACAAGGAAUGCAGUGUCAACUCUCCUGAUUAUGAAUCUCUACCACUAAAUUCACCAGAAUGGUGCCUUGCUCCAUUUGACCCUGGGGGCAUCUUAAGCUCGUUGAUGGCUGCCAUUACGUGUGUUGUGGGAUUGCAUUAUGGACAUAUUAUUGUGCAUUUUAAGGUACAACGCGUUUGUCGCUUUUAUUUAGCAUGCUUUUGCAGCCUAAAUGAAUUGAUCUAUUUUCCCCUUAAUUAUAUUUGUGUUUGAAAAUUGUUUAGCAUGCAUGCAUAUAUUGCUUAGAUUUGAAAAUUAAGAUGGGUAAACCUCAAGGAUGGUAUACAUAAUACUCGGUAACUAUUUGUUCCCUCCAAAGUCAUUUGACUCAAACAAUAUGUUUUUAUUUUAAUUUUUUUAAAGUGAUACAAAUAUUUUGGCACCGGUGUUUAUA